rnacentral:rRNA from 1 species
AGUGAACGCUGGCGGUAGGCCUAACACAUGCAAGUCGAACGGCAGCACAGUAAGAGCUUGCUCUUACGGGUGGUGAGUGGCGGACGGGUGAGGAAUACAUCGGAAUCUACUUUUUCGUGGGGGAUAACGUAGGGAAACUUACGCUAAUACCGCAUACGACCUACGGGUGAAAGCAGGGGAUCUUCGGACCUUGCGCGAUUGAAUGAGCCGAUGUCGGAUUAGCUAGUUGGCGGGGUAAAGGCCCACCAAGGCGACGAUCCGUAGCUGGUCUGAGAGGAUGAUCAGCCACACUGGAACUGAGACACGGUCCAGACUCCUACGGGGGGCAGCAGUGGGGAAUAUUGGACAAUGGGCGCAAGCCUGAUCCAGCCAUACCGCGUGGGUGAAGAAGGCCUUCGGGUUGUAAAGCCCUUUUGUUGGGAAAGAAAAGCAGCAGGUUAAUACCCCGCUGUUCUGACGGUACCCAAAGAAUAAGCACCGGCUAACUUCGUG